rnacentral:lncRNA from 1 species
AUGCAGAGCACUCAGCCGGCGCCCCAAGGAAUUCCGCACCGUGCGCCACUCCCUAACUCCGCAGCGCCGGGCGCAGGAGCUCAUCCCGCCGUGCCUCAAGCACAUUCGGAUUUCCACACUGGAGCUGAGGUGGCCUCAGCAGGUGACCAAUGGGCUUUUACAAGAUGUCCAUUGUAUGGACUCUGUGGUUGGCUCAGCAACAUUGCUCUCCCCUCUGCUCCACCACCCACUGCAAGGCCACCAUGUGGCUUGAGGAGGCCCUGACAACAGAAAAGUCGCAGAAGGACACCUACAUCCCCUCAGAAAUUGAGAAGGCUCCUUCCAGCAUCUCAAAUCGAUUUGAAUCCCACUUCAAGUUCGUUGGAAUGUAACUUGAGGGUUCCUUGACAUGUCACAGAACCUGAACCUGAAGGGCACAUCCCAGUCACAUCUAAAACCUCAAAAUUUUGUUCUCUGGGUCUGAAAUUGAGUGUAGUAGAAAGAAAUUUAUGAAAGUGCCACAGAUUACCUACUCCAAAGUGGGCGGGACAUUUUAAAGGAACAGGAAAAGAGAUUAAAUGGUCUGAGAGGGGACACCAUUGAUAUGGUAGAUAUAGAGUAAAAUUCAAAAGAAGGUUUAACAGAAGAGAAUUAGAGAGAGGAAAAGUAGUUUAAAAACUUUACUAAAUAAAAGAAGAUAUUUAUGAAGCA